GGAAGUAAAAGUCGUAUCAAGGUUUCCGUAGGUGAACCUGCGGAAGGAUCAUUACUGAGUGAGGGCCCCUCGGGGCCCAACCUCCCACCCGUGUUUAACGAACCUUGUUGCUUCGGCGGGCCCGCCUCACGGCCGCCGGGGAGCAUUUGCCCCCGGGCCCGCGCCCGCCGAAGCCACCUGUGAACGCUGUCUGAAGUAUGCAGUCUGAGACAAUUAUUAAAUUAAUUAAAACUUUCAACAACGGAUCUCUUGGUUCCG
rnacentral:misc_RNA from 1 species